AAUAGCAGCCAUAUCACUCUGCUCACAAAUGGCAGCCCACUGAAGCUCAGCAGGCAUGAGCCUAGUCAGUACGUGGAUGGGAGACCUCCUGGGAAGAACUAAGGUUGCUGCUGGAA
rnacentral:rRNA from 1 species